rnacentral:rRNA from 1 species
GUGGCUGGACGGCAUGCUUUACCAUGCAAGUCGAACGGUAACAGGCCUUCGGGUGCUGACGAGUGGCGAACGGGUGAGUAAAGCAUCGGAACGUACCCAGAGGUGGGGGAUAACGCAGCGAAAGCUGUGCUAAUACCGCAUGUGAUCUGAGGAUGAAAGCGGGGGACCUUCGGGCCUCGCGCCUUUGGAGCGGCCGAUGUCGGAUUAGCUAGUUGGUGGGGUAAAGGCCUACCAAGGCGACGAUCCGUAGCUGGUCUGAGAGGACGACCAGCCACACUGGGACUGAGACACGGCCCAGACUCCUACGGGAGGCAGCAGUGGGGAAUUUUGGACAAUGGGCGCAAGCCUGAUCCAGCAAUGCCGCGUGCGGGAAGAAGGCCUUCGGGUUGUAAACCGCUUUUGGCAGGAACGAAAAGCUCUGGGCGAAUACCCUGGGGUGAUGACGGUACCUGCAGAAUAAGCACCGGCUAACUACGUGCCAGCAGCCGCGGUAAUACGUAGGGUGCGAGCGUUAAUCGGAAUUACUGGGCGUAAAGCGUGCGCAGGCGGUUGUGUAAGAC